CUUAUCCCUAGAGGCAUUGCAAGUGUGGCUGCUGUGCCCUAUGUGCUUCAACAGGAGGCAGAGAGUGAGGGGCCAUGUCUACACUCAGUGUUCUGACCUGUGAGCAGCCCUGAAAAAGUGAGCCUGAGAUG